CAGCAGCCGCGGUAAUACGUAGGGUGCGAGCGUUAAUCGGAAUUACUGGGCGUAAAGCGUGCGCAGGCGGUUAUAUAAGACAGAUGUGAAAUCCCCGGGCUCAACCUGGGACCUGCAUUUGUGACUGUAUAGCUAGAGUACGGUAGAGGGGGAUGGAAUUCCGCGUGUAGCAGUGAAAUGCGUAGAUAUGCGGAGGAACACCGAUGGCGAAGGCAAUCCCCUGGACCUGUACUGACGCUCAUGCACGAAAGCGUGGGGAGCAAACAGGAUUAGAUACCCGUGUAGUCCCUGUCUCUUAUAC
rnacentral:rRNA from 1 species